GCACAAGCGGAGGAACAUGUGGUUUAAUUCGAUGAUACGCGAGGAACCUUACCCGGGCUUGAAAUGCAUCUGACCGGCCUUGAAAGAGGCACUCCCUCGGGGCAGAUGUGUAGGUGCUGCAUGGUUGUCGUCAGCUCGUGCCGUGAGGUGUCGGCUUAAGUGCCAUAACGAGCGCAACCCUCAUCAUUAGUUACCAUCAGGUAAGGCUGGGGACUCUAAUGAGACUGCCAUCGUAAGAUGUGAGGAAGGUGGGGAUGACGUCAAAUCAGCACGGCCCUUACGUCCGGGGCGACACACGUGUUACAAUGGGUGGUACAAAGGGCAGCUACCUGGCGACAGGAUGCUAAUCUCGAAAACCGCUCUCAGUUCGGAUCGGAGUCUGCAACUCGACUCCGUGAAGCUGGAUUCGCUAGUAAUCGCGCACCAGCCAUGGCGCGGUGAAUACGUUCCCGGGCCUU
rnacentral:rRNA from 1 species